GGUGACUUGGCGUAGUGGUUCAACGCACUGAGUAGUCCUCUACUUAGGAGUGGGUUCGAUUCCCGCGGUCACCG
rnacentral:tRNA from 1 species